AAGUCGUAACAAGGUUUCCGUAGGUGAACCUGCGGAAGGAUCAUUACAGAGUUCAUGCCCUAACGGGUAGACCUCCCACCCUUUGUUAUACCUACCUUUGUUGCUUUGGCGGGCCGCCUUCGGGCUAUCGGCUUUGGCUGGUGCGCGCCCGCCAGAGAACCCCAAAUUCUGAAUUAUAAUGUCGUCUGAGUACUAUAUAAUAGUUAAAACUUUCAACAACGGAUCUCUUGGUUCUG
rnacentral:misc_RNA from 1 species